UGAUCACCGACCCAUGGGAAGCCAGAAAAACUCGUCAACUGAUGUGACUAAUCAUCAUUCGAUGGGGGCAAUAGAAGUUAAAACAUGGCCGGAGAUCUCUGCAGUUACAAAAUCAGCAUCUCACAGCAAUUUUGCUGUUUUGGUGCAUCUCAAAGCCCCUCGUGCUGUUGGCCUUCUAAACCAGAGUGGGAUGCCAGUUACAGGUCAGAAUUCCCGAGCUCCGGUUGAUCUUGUGACUGUUCUUGAUGUUAGUGGCAG
rnacentral:misc_RNA from 1 species